UAGACUCGUUCUGACGGCAGUUCGUUCGACUUUCCGCCCUAUCAACUUUGGAUGGUAGUGUAGUGGACUACCAUGGGGUUUACGGGUGACGGAGAAUUAGGGUUCGAUUCCGGAGAGGGAGCCUGAGAGAUGGCUACUACUUCCAAGGAAGGCAGCAGGCGCGAAAAUUGCCAAACCUACAAAGUAGGAGGCAGUGACAAUAAAUAUCUGCGGGGCUUAUGCUCCGACUGGAAUGAGAUGGAUGUAAAUAAUCCUACGAGUAUCGAUUGGAGGAAAAGUCUGGUGCCAGCACCCGCGGUAAUUCCAGCUCCAAGAGCGUAUAUUCAAGUUGCUGCAGUUAAAAAGCUCGUAGUUGGGUGGGGAAUGAGUGGAGGAAGGAGAAGGGGAACCGGAUCUGGAAUCUACUUGUUCAUUUAUGAAGAGUAGCUUGGUAGAUGGCCUUAACUGGUCGUUUAUUAUAGCCUCUUCCGUUGACCGUGCUUAAAUUCGCGUGUUCAAAGCAAGCGUUUCGCUUGAAGAGUCUAGCAUGGG
rnacentral:rRNA from 1 species